ACUCGGCAACGCCAACCUUCAUCCCAACCUCAAACGUCACCUUCGACGGGAAAUAACUGCUCCCGACUGGCCCGUCCUCCCGAGAGCUCCUCCACUGGACUCCAUUCAGGAUGUGCUGAGCCAAAGCUGAGGUCACAUCAACCCGCCCUGGCCCGACUACUGUAGUAGAAGCAAAUCCGAACUCUCACCUAUGGUGUGUCCCGGCGUGGAGAGCGGCGUGACGGAUCCAUCGGGGGACGGGUGAAACUGCUGCUGGACUUUGGUGCGGAUAAUCCUGGAUUUUGCUGACGCAGCCGUGACUGACCCGUAGCUGUCUGGAGAUGUCACACGGCCGGACCC